CUCCGGACCUUCCCACUACUGCUUGCACCUGGACCUGAGGGCUUGUGAUUACUUCACCGUCAGAGGGCUACUGGGACCCUUUUCCUAUUUCUUUGGACACACGGAGGAGGAACUGGAGAUGAUCUGGAAGGUGAAGGCCAAAGUAGUUCCAGUAGUGGUAGGAGCACUCGGAGCCGUGCCACUGGAAGAAUGGCUCCAAUAGAUCCCAGGAACAACAUCAGCGCUCUCUGUCCAGAAGAGUACAAUGCUAAGUACAGCUGGCCUUACAUUGGUGCAAGGCCGGGGAUGGUGUAAGAAGUGGGAUGGGCGUUGACAGAAGCAAGAGGCAGUGCGACCUGAAGCAGAAGGCCCCUAGGAAAUUGCCUGCCACCCCACUCUUAGUGGGAGCCCACCAAAAUGAGACCGCUGACUGAGCCAGUGUUCCUCACGAGGCAAGCCGGAAGAACCCUGCCAAUCAUCAUCAUCACCCUGGCUUCACAGGGACCCAGAGCCAGCACCAGCUAACCAGCCAGCCAUUCCAGAACUGCGAGCAGAUCAGUCCAAGCUAGCAGCAGGAUAAACCCCUACCUCAAUGACGACCUGACCAGAAGGCCACAUGGGGAGCGCCAUCCUGCAGUGUGCCAUCUUUUUCCCAAUCCCUGGGGUGAAGACGCCUAAGUUCUAUGGUAGGGACAUCUGGGAGGCCUAUCUUGCCCAGUUCGAAUUGUUUGCUGCUGCUGCUCACUGGUCAGAGAAAGCAAAGGCACUAUAGCUGGCUUUGUUGCUGAUGGAGGAUGACCACUCAUUCCUACUGUUGCUGAGCCUGGACGAGUGGAUUGCCUGGUGAAUGCACUUCAGAGUCACUUCUGCCCCUCAACCUGCAAGAUGCCCUUUCCAGUGAGUUUAAACACUGCACCCAGGUGCCGGGAGAAUCCCUCCAUGUUUUGGUUCAUCCAUGCCACCUCCCAUUCAGGGUGAGUUGGUGUUUGUCCAGGCCCCUGCCCCUGACAAGCUUAGACUACACGUGCAGCUGGCCCACCCCAGAAUCUUAGGUGAAGCCCUGGAGAUCAUAGUGGAGUGGGAGACCACUGCCUGUGCACCGAGGCGUGGCCUUGGGUCAUGGCCACUAUGUGGAGACCGGCAAGGAGGAGGCAGCCUGCCAGGUCGCUGCCAUGCCACUACUACCAGCGAAGUGAUUCAUUGCGA